rnacentral:rRNA from 1 species
UACGAAGGGGACUAGCGUUGUUCGGAAUCACUGGGCGUAAAGCGCACGUAGGCGGAUGUGUCAGUCAGGGGUGAAAUCCCGGGGCUCAACCUCGGAACUGCCUUUGAUACAGCACGUCUCGAGUCCGGAAGAGGUGGGUGGAAUUCCUAGUGUAGAGGUGAAAUUCGUAGAUAUUAGGAAGAACACCGGUGGCGAAGGCGGCCCACUGGCCCGUUACUGACGCUGAGGCGCGAAAGCGUGGGGAGCAAACAGG